rnacentral:rRNA from 1 species
CCAGACUCCUACGGGAGGCAGCAGUGGGGGAUAUUGCACAAUGGGGGGAACCCUGAUGCAGCGACGCCGCGUGGGUGAAGGAGUGCUUCGGCAUGUAAAGCCCUAUCGGCAGGGAAGAAGCAAGACGGUACCUGACUAAGAAGCCCCGGCUAACUACGUGCCAGCAGCCGCGGGAAUACGUAGGGGGCAAGCGUUAUCCGGAUUUACUGGGUGUAAAGGGAGCGUAGGCGGUUAGAUAAGUCUGAUGUGAAAGCCCACAGCUUAACUGUGGGAUUGCAUUGGAAACUAUAGAACUAGAGUGUCGGAGAGGUAAGUGGAAUUCCUAGUGUAGCGGUGAAAUGCGUAGAUAUUAGGAGGAACACCAGUGGCGAAGGCGGCUUACUGGACGAUGACUGACGCUGAGGCUCGAAAGCGUGGGGAGCAAACAGGAUUAGAUACCCGGGUAUU